rnacentral:tRNA from 1 species
UCUAAUAUGGCAGACAAGUGCAAUGGAUUUAAGCUCCAUAUAUAAAGGUUUAUUCCUUUUGUUAGAA